rnacentral:misc_RNA from 1 species
GAGAGCUGGCUGGCAAGGGGGUAUGGUCACGAGUCGGCCUUUGAGCGCGACUGAUGGGUGAUUGUACUUGACGUCGAAGGCGCCUUGUAAGCCACCUUCCGAGUGGGGAAUUCGUUUUUGUUAUUUCAAAUCGAACGAACUGCGACAACGUCGAUUGUGACGGGGCGUCGACGAAAGUUGGCCCAUGACCCGAUGUUGUGUCCCUUCAAACGAUUUUAACUCUCUUGUUGUGUUGCUCGAUGAGAUUCGUCUAUUGACAUGGUGAUGUCAAGUUGCUUGUAGAUCUUAGCUUCAAGCUUCGAUCUUAGUUUUCAGCUUAACCAGUCUUUUCACGAGGCCCGCACGAUCAGUCUGAUUGUAUGGCAUGUUCUUGUUUGAUUGUUGCCUUAUCGUUGGAUUGUUAGUGUAACCGAUGACAUGAUGNGGCUUGUUAGUCUUAAAACUUGGGAUGGCGAUUUGGUAUUGUUGUGUCGGUUGAUGAAUGUUGUUGAACGGUAGGGCAAGGGUUUGUUACUUCAUUGCACUGUUGAUGAAAUUCGUCCCACAAUGUGGUGGUGUUGAGUUGCUUGUAGAUCCUAGUUUCUAGCUUCUCAAGCUUAAAACACAUGGAACUUCGGUUGGCGACUAGGCAUCGCCUCGUUGGUCGAUGAAGGUCGUCCAGUGAUGCGUUGGUUAUAAUAUUUUGUUCUCGCAUCGUUCGGUGCAUUCUGGGGUCA